AUGAAGCAUGUAAAUUUUUUUUAGGAUUUUGAAGCAACAAAAGACUACAAUUUUAUAUAAAGAAAUAGUAAUUUUAACGAAAUACUGUUCACUCGGCAGUAACCACCCCACCAGAGCGAUGUUAGUCUCUGCUCACCGUGUCAGACUGAGGCGCUGAUAGACGUCUUAGUUUUGUAAUUUUUUUCUAUCGAGAAUCUAUUUACCUAAAUGUUAAUAUUAGAAAAUAUAAAAAAAACUCGAGAAAAACCAUAACAAGUUCCUCCAUCUUCAAGGUCGACGAAGAUGGAAGGUCCAGUAACUCGUAUGUCGUCGAAUCAAAACCUGACAACCCAGAACACACAUAAAUAAAGAUCGACAAAAUCCCUCCUCCCCUUUCGCAAAGGAAACCUGUUUACAUACACAAAUCACUUAACGAUAUGUCCGGAGGAAAAGUUUUUGGUUGUUUUGGUAAGGGAGGGACGCCCAAGGAUACGUUUGAUCCGUUUUCUAGGAGGCAAGUCGGACAAGUCAAAGCUGAAUUGGGGCCGGCUGGCCGGGCUGGGCAAUUUGCAUUGUGCAAAGGUUUCGGAUCCGCUGCGGCCGAACUCACCCAAAGCAGCGAUGGUGUGAGACGUUAUAACGAGCCGCGCCCCUGAGCUUUGCUGAGGUCUGCGCAGCGAGACGGCUGCAGUAAAGGAUUGUGAACUCCACAGAAGAAUGCGGUGCACUGAGACCUCGCGAUGGGAAAAAGACAGCGACGGGAGCGAAACGCCAGUUCCAACGGCUCCCCGUCGUUGGCCGGCGCGGCACGGGAUAGGAGAGAGGUUCCCACGCCCCUAGGAACCUCUCUCCUAUCCCUUCGCGGAGACGCCGAGCGGGGAAGGAGGUGGAGGUUGCGCUCGCGUGCUCGGGCGGAAGAGGCGCGCGAGGGGCAGCGACGGAGGCGCGCGCGAGGAGGGCGACAGAAGGUUGGCGGCGACGGAGAGGGGCUCUCGGAUCGCAUCGCACACCCUCCCGUUUCGCCCUCAACCGGCCUCGCCUUCAAACUCCGGCGGCCGAUGGCUCGGCGGUAGCAACUGCCGUAGCCUUCGGUGCUCCGCCGUACGCUAUCAUUCGCAAGGGCUGCCUGGAAUCGAUGCGGUCUCGAGUAUGUAUUUUGCGGUCAGUGUAUUUGAUUAUUCAUUCCGAACGCAAGCGAAAAGUUUCAGUGAUCAUACUGGCUCGAGGCAGCCUUGAUAUUAUUAGCAAAGCUAGGGAUUGAGGAAACAAUAUGUUCUGGAUUGACGUUUGGGCUUAAAUCUUCGAGCUGAGAGGCAUUCUAUUAAACAUUUGAUUUUCCAAUGACGUUGGACACGAAGCCAGAUAACCUUUGAGCUACCUGUGGAAGCCCAAUAGAACUAUCAUACAAGGCUGCUGUACUGAAGAUGUCUGAGUUCCUUGACCUUGAGGCCCAAGAUGGGAUAAGGAUGCCCUGGAAUGUUAUUCCGGGUACAAAGCAGGAGGCUGUGAACUGUGUGAUCCCUGUUUGUGCCAUCUAUACACCUCUGAAGUCAAUUCCUGAUAUACCAGUCCUCCCAUAUUCCCUACUUUGCUGUCGCAUGUGCCGUUCCACCAGUUUUCCUUUUUGUUGUAGAUACCUGCAUGAUUGAAGAAGAAAUUGGUUAUUUGAAGUCUGCACUGGCACAAGCUGUAGAGCUGUUCCCAGAUAAUUCCCUUGUUGGAUUCAUUACUUUCGGUACAUAUAUGCAGGUUCAUGAAUUGGGUUUUAGCUUGUUGCCAAAGUCAUGUGUUCAAGGGGAUAAAGGAGUUCACCAAGGAACAAAUAUUGGAACAAAUGUGCUUCUUUGCAGGGAAGAAAAUGCCCACCACCAGGGUGAUCGCUGGUACUAGGGACGGUCUUUCAUCUGAGAGCAUCGCUAGGUUCCUGUUGCCUGCUUCUGAAUGCGAGUUUGUGUUGAAUUCAGUUAUAGAAGAAAUGCAAAAGGACCCUUGGCCUGUUCCGGCUGAUCAGCGUGCAUCAAGAUGCACCGGAGCUGCCUUAAGUGUCGGCCAAUCUCCUGGGGCUGUCUUCCAUUUGCUUAUCAAUAAGUGUAGCGGCCAAUCUCCUGGUGCCGAGGUGAUCUUGGAUCUGAUCUGAGCUUAUCAGUAAACUUGGGCUGUCUUCCAUUUGCUUACGCAGCAUACAUGCUUUGCUGUCACGAAUAAAUUAAAUCUCUUUUGCUUGUGUAAAGACGUUCGAUAUGACUUCCACACUAUGGAUUCCAGAGUGUUAUGAGAUUGUUUUACUGGAACUAAUCGAGAUGGUGAAUUUACCCGACAUUUAUGUUU